rnacentral:rRNA from 1 species
GACGAACGCUGGCGGCGUGCCUAAUACAUGCAAGUUGAGCGCUGAAGGUUGGUACUUGUACCGACUGGAUGAGCAGCGAACGGGUGAGUAACGCGUGGGGAAUCUGCCUUUGAGCGGGGGACAACAUUUGGAAACGAAUGCUAAUACCGCAUAAAAACUUUAAACACAAGUUUUAAGUUUGAAAGAUGCAAUUGCAUCACUCAAAGAUGAUCCCGCGUUGUAUUAGCUAGUUGGUGAGGUAAAGGCUCACCAGGGCGAUGAUACAUAGCCGGCCUGAGAGGGUGAUCGGCCACAUUGGGACUGAGACACGGCCCAAACUCCUACGGGAGGCAGCAGUAGGGAAUCUUCGGCAAUGGACGAAAGUCUGACCGAGCAACGCCGCGUGAGUGAAGAAGGUUUUCGGAUCGUAAAACUCUGUUGGUAGAGAAGAACGUUGGUGAGAGUGGAAAGCUCAUCAAGUGACGGUAACUACCCAGAAAGGGACGGCUAACUACGUG